GAUUAUGGCUCAGGAUGAACGCUAGCUACAGGCUUAACACAUGCAAGUCGAGGGGCAGCAUGGGGUAGCAAUACUCAGAUGGCGACCGGCGCACGGGUGAGUAACACGUAUCCAACCUGCCGCUUACUCGGGGAUAGCCUUUCGAAAGAAAGAUUAAUACCCGAUGGUAUAAAGAGUUCGCAUGUUCUCUUUAUUAAAGAAUUUCGGUAAGCGAUGGGGAUGCGUUCCAUUAGAUAGUUGGCGGGGUAACGGCCCACCAAGUCUACGAUGGAUAGGGGUUCUGAGAGGAAGGUCCCCCACAUUGGAACUGAGACACGGUCCAAACUCCUACGGGAGGCAGCAGUGAGGAAUAUUGGUCAAUGGACGAGAGUCUGAACCAGCCAAAGUAGCGUGAAGGAUGACUGCCCUAUGGGUUGUAAACUUCUUUUAUAAGGGAAUAAAGUGAGGGACGUGUCCCUUUUCGUAUGUACCUUAUGAAUAAGGAUCGGCUAACUCCGUGCCAGCCGCGGC
rnacentral:rRNA from 1 species